rnacentral:misc_RNA from 1 species
CUGUUUUGUGUUGCCGUGGCACUACCUUACGCGCGGUAUCUUCCUCAGUUUUUCCCCCGCCAUCACACCAACCCUUGCACUGCAUCGCUCUGCGUCUUGACGAAAGGACUGCCUCCUGCGCAUUUGAUGAUGCAGCGUCUGACUUACGCAGCCAUGAAGGCGCUGGUGGCGAAGAAGCUCUCGGGCGAUCUGCACAUGUGCAUUUUGGACGUGCGUAACGCCGAUGAAGUGGCAGAGGGCGCCAUCCCGGCCUCUGUCCAUGUCCCUCUCGACCAGCUGGAGACCGCGCUUCAGCUGACGGCCGACGAGUUCAAGAAGAAGUACAGCGCACCCAAGCCGGAGGUUUCAGACCAUGUUGUGACUUACUGCCUUCGCGGCAUGCGCGCGGAGAGGGCGGCUGCCGCGCUUCAUUCCAGUGGCUACACAAACGUCGAUGUGUACCCCGGCAGCUGGGCGGAGUGGUCGGAGCAAGAAAAGUGCGCAGCAUAGGCGAACUGGCGCUUCACUGCCCCUUCGCUAGCCAUCACGCUCCGUGGUAUUGGCUGAUUGUGAUAGCUAGCCCUCAUGCACCUACUAACACCUUCUCGACGCCGGCACCACGCGGGGGUAGAUCCACACGCGCGGUGCUGCAGCUGGCAAUGUCAAGGUGGCAUGAGAGAUAUCGCUUAUUAUUUUGCUCUCUGUUUCGUCAACAGCGUUGCUUGCCGCUUAGUCGUCACGCCUCUCCUCAUCUCCGUCGUGCUGCCACGUACGCUGCGGCAGCGGUGCUGCCGCUCUGUUUUUUCUGCCUCUUUUUCUUUUUCGGGUGCCAUGUUGACCCAGCCGAUGUCAGCGGAUAUGCAAGAGCGAUUCCCGUGAG